AGAGUUUGAUCCUGGCUCAGGACGAACGCUGGCGGCGUGCUUAACACAUGCAAGUCGAACGAGAUCCUUCGGGGUCUAGUGGCGAACGGGUGAGUAACACGUGAGCAACCUGCCCCUGGCUCUGGGAUAGCCUCCGGAAACGGGGAUUAAUACCGGACAUGACCUGCCGUGGCAUCACGGCGGGUGGAAAGUUCUUCGGC
rnacentral:rRNA from 1 species